CUGGUGGACCUGUUGUUGCGCCAGCAGCAGUGCAGGGUAGCUAUGAUCGGACAGGAUAACCGCUGAAGGCAUCUAAGCGGGAAGCCCCCCCAGAAAAAAGGUCUCCCUUGAGGGCCGUGGAAGACCACCACGUCGAUAGGCUGGAGAUGUAAGCGCUGUGAGGCGUUCAGUUGACCAGUACUAAUUGCCCGACAGGCUUGAUUUGAUCCGG
rnacentral:rRNA from 1 species